rnacentral:tRNA from 1 species
GCGGCUGUGCGUGGAACAGUAGACCGGGCGGUCUUAAAAACCGCUGCGCCUUUGGCGCGUGGGCGUGCAACUCGCCCCGGCCGCACCA